rnacentral:rRNA from 1 species
GAUGAACGCUAGCUACAGGCUUAACACAUGCAAGUCGAGGGGAAACGAUAUUGGAAGCUUGCUUCCGAUAGGCGUCGACCGGCGCACGGGUGAGUAACGCGUAUCCAACCUGCCCGUCACUUGGGAAUAACCUUGCGAAAGUAAGACUAAUGCCCAAUGACAUUUAUAGAAGGCAUCUGAAAUGAAUUAAAGAUUUAUCGGUGAUGGAUGGGGAUGCGUCUGAUUAGCUUGUUGGCGGGGUAACGGCCCACCAAGGCGACGAUCAGUAGGGGUUCUGAGAGGAAGGUCCCCCACAUUGGAACUGAGACACGGUCCAAACUCCUACGGGAGGCAGCAGUGAGGAAUAUUGGUCAAUGGACGGAAGUCUGAACAGCCAAGUAGCGUGCAGGAUGACGGCCUUAUGGGUUGUAAACUGCUUUAUAAGGGAANAAAGUGAGUCUCGUGAGACUUUUUUGCAUGUACCUUAUGAAUAAGGACCGGCUAA